rnacentral:rRNA from 1 species
GGGUAGCAAUACCUGAUGACGACCGGCAAACGGGUNCGGAACACGUACGCAACCUUCCCAUAACUGGUGAAUAGCCCUCCGAAAGGAGGAUUAAUACACCGUAACAUAACGAAGAGGCAUCUCUUUGUUAUUAUAGGCUUCGGCCGGUUUUGGAUGGGCGUGCGCCUGAUUAGGUAGUUGGCGGGGUAACGGCCCACCAAGCCUGCGAUCAGUAACUGGUGUGAGAGCACGACCAGUCACACGGGCACUGAGACACGGGCCCGACUCCUACGGGAGGCAGCAGUAAGGAAUAUUGGUCAAUGGACGAAAGUCUGAACCAGCCAUGCCGCGUGAAGGAUUAAGGCCCUCUGGGUUGUAAACUUCUUUUAUCUGGGACGAAAAAAGGGUAUUCUUACUCACUUGACGGUACCAGAGGAAUAAGCACCGGCUAACUCCGUGCCAGCAGCCGCGGUAAUACGGAGGGUGCAAGCGUUAUCCGGAUUUACUGGGUUUAAAGGGUGCGUAGGUGGGUCUGUAAGUCAGUGGUGAAAUCUCCGAGCUUAACUCGGAAACUGCCAUUGAUACUAUAGGUCUUGAAUUAUAUGGAGGUAAGCGGAAUAUGUCAUGUAGCGGUGAAAUGCUUAGAUAUGACAUAGAACACCAAUUGCGAAGGCAGCUUACUACGUAUAUAUUGACACUGAGGCACGAAAGCGUGGGGAUCAAACAGGAUUAGAUACCCUGGUAGUCCACGCCCUAAACGAUGGAUACUCGACAUCAGCGAUACACUGUUGGUGUCUGAGCGAAAGCAUUAAGUAUCCCACCUGGGAAGUACGAUCGCAAGAUUGAAACUC